rnacentral:misc_RNA from 1 species
GUAGGUGAACCUGCGGAAGGAUCAUUAAUGAAAGCUCGAGCGAGGUUGUCGCUGGCCCCCCCCCCGGGGGCAACGUGCACGCCUUUGUCUCUGUCCUUCAUCUUCUCACCCCCCUGUGCACCUCUGCGUGGGUCCCCCUCGGGGGGCUCGCGUCAUAUAUCCAUAACGAACGCAUGUAUCGGAACGUAUCGUUUGCUACAGCAGCAAAAACUUGUACAACUUUCAACAACGGAUCUCUUGGCUCUC